UCUUCAAAACCUUUCUUCCCUCUCCUCAGUUCCUGGGAACAGAAAAGACUGGAAGAGUCCCAUGGGACUGGAAGUAGAGGCAAGGGUGCUGUAAAAUCCAGAAAAAUACUGGAAAUAUUGGUCUCGGUGGCUUUCUAUUAAUAGCACUUUUUCAGGGAAAAACUGGCUGAUAAUUGAUAUCUUUUUUUUUUUUAAAGGUAUCUGGAAAUCUUUUUAUUUCAACUGUCUUGCUUUUACUGUCUUCCGUAAGAAUUUGCUGCAGUAGUUGCCGAGAGGACGCUAAGACGUGUGGUUUCCAGUAGGUGGCAGCGUUAACAAGGAUACACAUUGCUGGGGGAAGGCACCUAGGCAAAGAUGAAACAUUUGAAGCGGACCUGUGAGCUCCAAACCCUUCUAGUAGUCCUUACAACCGUGACAGCGCUAGGUGGGAACACUGAGGUAGCCACUGAGCAGCUCUGGAGACAGACAAACAGCAAAGAGGUGACUAAAAAUGAAAAUUCAGCGCUGUUUUGAUAGAUGGUUUGUUCUUUCAGCUGCAUGAAAGGUUGCACGUAGCUGCUGUCGCAGAAGCACAACCACUGUUACUCAGUUCCUGACGUAAAGAAAGUGAGUUUCCAAAGCUUAGUUUGAAAUAUGUUUUAAUUGGAA